UCCUGGUUAGCUCAGUUGGUAGAGCGCUCCACUGGAAAGGGAGAGGUCCCUGGUUCGACAGCAGGACCAGGAU
rnacentral:tRNA from 1 species